rnacentral:rRNA from 1 species
AACAAACGCUGGCGGCGUGCCUAAUACAUGCAAGUCGAACGGGUAGCAAUAUCAGUGGCGCACGGGUGAGGAAUACAUAGAUAAUCUGCCUUCGAGUCGGGGAUAACCAGUCGAAAGACUGGCUAAUACCGGAUAGGACCACAGGAUCUGCGGAUCUAGGGGUUAAAGGUUUUUCGCUUGAAGAUGAGUCUAUGCGAGAUUAGCUAGUUGGUGAGGUAAUGGCUCACCAAGGCGACGAUCUCUAACUGGUCUUAGAGGAUGAUCAGUCACACUGGAACUGAGACACGGUCCAGACUCCUACGGGAGGCAGCAGUAGGGAAUAUUGCGCAAUGGGGGAAACCCUGACGCAGCGACGCCGCGUGAGUGAUGAAGGCCUUCGGGUCGUAAAGCUCUGUCGUAUGGGAAUAACACAAUGAAUGUACCAUGCAAGAAAGGAUCGGCUAACUUCGUGCCAGCCGCCGCGGUAA